AGCUUGCUCCCGGAUGUUAGCGGCGGACGGGUGAGUAACACGUGGGUAACCUGCCUGUAAGACUGGGAUAACUCCGGGAAACCGGAGCUAAUACCGGAUAGUUCCUUGAACCGCAUGGUUCAAGGAUGAAAGACGGUUUCGGCUGUCACUUACAGAUGGACCCGCGGCGCAUUAGCUAGUUGGUGGGGUAAUGGCUCACCAAGGCGACGAUGCGUAGCCGACCUGAGAGGGUGAUCGGCCACACUGGGACUGAGACACGGCCCAGACUCCUACGGGAGGCAGCAGUAGGGAAUCUUCCGCAAUGGACGAAAGUCUGACGGAGCAACGCCGCGUGAGUGAUGAAGGUUUUCGGAUCGUAAAGCUCUGUUGUUAGGGAAGAACAAGUGCGAGAGUAACUGCUCGCACCUUGACGGUACCUAACCAGAAAGCCACGGCUAACUACGUGCCAGCAGCCGCGGUAAUACGUAGGUGGCAAGCGUUGUCCGGAAUUAUUGGGCGUAAAGGGCUCGCAGGCGGUUUCUUAAGUCUGAUGUGAAAGCCCCCGGCUCAACCGGGGAGGGUCAUUGGAAACUGGGAAACUUGAGUGCAGAAGAGGAGAGUGGAAUUCCACGUGUAGCGGUGAAAUGCGUAGAGAUGUGGAGGAACACCAGUGGCGAAGGCGACUCUCUGGUCUGUAACUGACGCUGAGGAGCGAAAGCGUGGGGAGCGAACAGGAUUAGAUACCCUGGUAGUCCACGCCGUAAACGAUGAGUGCUAAGUGUUAGGGGGUUUCCGCCCCUUAGUGCUGCAGCUAACGCAUUAAGCACUCCGCCUGGGGAGUACGGUCGCAAGACUGAAACUCAAAGGAAUUGACGGGGGCCCGCACAAGCGGUGGAGCAUGUGGUUUAAUUCGAAGCAACGCGAAGAACCUUACCAGGUCUUGACAUCCUCUGACAACCCUAGAGAUAGGGCUUUCCCUUCGGGGACAGAGUGACAGGUGGUGCAUGGUUGUCGUCAGCUCGUGUCGUGAGAUGUUGGGUUAAGUCCCGCAACGAGCGCAACCCUUGAUCUUAGUUGCCAGCAUUCAGUUGGGCACUCUAAGGUGACUGCCGGUGAC
rnacentral:rRNA from 2 species